CGCGCUCAGCUGCGGAGCAGGGCGCCGGGCGCCUGACUGGAGCUCGGCGGGCGGGCGACGGUGGAGGGAGGACGGGAGGGUCCCGGCGCGGAAGGGUCUCGAAGGGGUAGAGCGACACCAGGGCUGGUCGCCGGCCGCCCCGAGGGCAGUCCCAUAUUCCCCCCGGUGUCGGCCGCUCCAAGACAGCAUCUGUCAACGCUCUUCCUCAGUGCUCCUCCUUUGGCCGGGCCGGGCUCCGCUGGCGGCGCCUGGGAAGACGCGGGACCCAGCGUGACGAGCCCAUCAGCUGUCAGACGAGCUGCGAAGCGACCCGAGGGCGGCGAGAGACACACAAAGAACGCGCCCUGGAGAGUUGCUGUAGAAGAGGGAUAAGAGAGGAAGACAACGCAGGAGGAGAGAAGGCACUCUGGACACAAGGGAAGAUCACACUGCUAAAUAGUAAUUAUUGAGCAGAGGGGAAAGGGAUAAGGGAAGGAUGCAGACCGCAGUCCUGCUAGUAACCUAGGUUUCCCCACGUAUCACCCUGGUUCAGGUGCUGUCUCCUCUACCCUCCUCCCUUUUCAUACCACUUGAUAUACUAUUUUUUGACUCACUUUGAGAAGACACUGAUUAUGUAGUCUGCCUCAAAAUGUUAAUCCUGGUUUUGGAUUUUAGUAUCUGUGAUCCUCAACUUUGCAGUAGCUUAGAGACAGUUAUCUCUCCUCUUGGCAUCUAGCCUUUGGAGUUAUUGAAGGGAAGAGAUUUCUAUCUCUGACCCCAAAGAAGUAGAUCCAGAAUCCAACUCCAAAUUUGCCUUUUCAGAGAAGUGUAUGCCAUCAAGACAUGGCAAUGUGAUGAGAGAGGCCACUCUCCCCUGACUUCAAAGAAUACAUUUACUAUCUAGAGCUCUUAUACUUUUCAAAGUACUUUGUCUCUCAUUAGCUCACUUUUUCCUUACAGUCGUGUAAAAUAUCAACAUUAGUAGACACACAGACCCCUAUGAGGCCUGUCAAAUCUUUUUCUUCUCCCUUCCUCCAUUCUCUUGCAAACCUACUGCAGGGCUAGUCUUUGCUAUCUUCACAUGAUUUUUCUUAAAAUCGAGAGCCUUUCGUCACUUUCUAUAUGUCCCCCAUAUGAGAUUGAACCUCCUCUGCCUGGUUUAUGUGGUGGCUUUAAAAACCGUGUCCCAUCCUACUCUAAAUAUAUUCUCCCCGUAGUUCCUGGAAUAUGGCCUACUCACUCACCACUGGGCCUUAGGCCAUAUUGCUUGCUUCAUUAGUGAUGCCUUCUCUUGAACCACCUAGAUUCUACCCAUUCUUCAAUUUCCAGCUCCUCCUUGGAGCCUUCACAGAUCAUCAGUUCCUUAAAGAUUCCAUCUUGCUCUGAACUCCAGUGGUAGCCACGGCUAUUUGCUCAAUUAUAACCUGUUCUUAAAAUCCUAAUGGAGAAAAAUUAUGGCAUAAAUUUGAUAUAGAGAAGAAAGCAGUAGACUAAUAAGUUUUAAAGACUUGAUGUCUACUAAAGAGCUGUGGGAGCAAAGCCAAUUUGCUCUACCUUCGUGGUUCUACAUUUUCUUAGCGUAAAUGUAGAAAGGUUUGGGUCAGAUUAUGUUGGUGGUCCCUUCUCAUUCUGAGGCUCUUAGACAACUUGGCCUUCCCGAUGGGAUUCUUACUGAGUUCUUGGAUGAAAAUGUCAGGAGUGGACACUCAGUGUCUUCAGGACUUAUUCUGUCCCACAGAUCUCUAUUGUUAAACUUGGCAGUUUUUGAAUGCCAUGUACCUUUUUUGGUAAGCUUUUUAGCCACAAGCAUUCAGGGAAGGUUAGUGGGGGUGAAUUAGGAAGCAAGAUGAUGCGUUAGGGAUAAUACAGAGUUAUCUUAUGAGCGACUUCCUAUGACGGAAUAAAUAGGGUCAGCUAUUAGAUAAACCUUAAGUGUUAGCAUUUAAAAUUUUGCAUUUCAUCUUCAUUGGGUAGUGCUAUAUAUUAAAUACAGUUAUAUUUUCUUUUUAAUCAUUUCAUAAAUUGAAAAACAUUAAAAAAGUCAAACUCUAGGAUAGGCACUAGAUGACUUUCCAUAGUAAUCUGGUGGGUGACAUGUAAAUCUACACCUGUGUAUAUAUAUCACACGCAUAUUACACUUAAACUAAGAAGGGUAUCCCUAAGUUAUAAGGUGCUAUUAUGCAUUGACCAGAUUUAAGAAGAAUAUCUCUUUAAAAUGUGUUGACAUUUAAUUGACCUUUGAAAGUUCAUUCUGUUAAUCAUACUCAAAGUGCUAAAGCUAUGGUUGACUGCUCUGGUGUUUUUACAUUCAGUCGUGCUUAGCAUAUAAAUUCUUCAGCAUAAUUGCUACUUAUUUAGCAAGAGUUUCCUUUCUUCUCUGAAAAUAUGAGUUGUGUUUUAUUUUUGUAACUUCUUUUUUUUUAAACUUUGCUUCAGGCUGGAUAGUGUUAGAGGUUUGAAUUGAAAUGCUUUCCUGUCAUUAGUUGUAUGGGGUGUGGCUUCUUAAUAUAGGAGUAAUGGAAAUUUCUUGCUUAGUGGAAGUCUGAGGUAUGCUGCUAAAAUUUAGAAAAGCUUAGCACCUCAACACUACAUAUUUUUAACAUAAUAAACUUUUGAAAAUCUUUCAGUUCCAUUUGUGUAGAUUAAAAUUAUCAAUACUAAUACUUCUUAUUAAACAUGGAUUCAAAGGAUUUGUUUUCAUAGCAAACUCUAAUUAUAUUCCUUGAAUCACUGUGAGUGGAAUUUAAUUUUACUAUAAACGAUGUCCAUGUUUUUAAAAAGUCAAAUAUGUUUCUUUUUUAAAGCUUAACAUUUUAUUACUAUCACCUAGAGAACAUCUGCUGAAUUGUUUAAAAAUUUCUGGGUAUUAAAUUUAUGAAAUCAGUCUAUGGAAAUAAUUUUUAAUAUGGUUAGCUGUCUUACAGGCUUCUAAAUUAAUAUUCCUAGUGAUCAUGGAAAAGUAGCUACACUUUUUGCUAAAUGUUAAUAGAAAAAUAAAGCCAUAUAAUUUCCGAUUUUUUGCUAAUUUAUCUUUGACACUCCAGAUGUAUUUUUCAAAAUAUUUUUAUCUUAAAAGCAGUUUUUAAAUAGAAAAGAUAAAGUUUAAACCAGAGUUUUUUAUUUUCAUGAGGUCAAUUUAUACCUUUCACGUAUGUAGCUCCAUAUUUGAGAUAUAUUUUGUUCUUUGUUUGGAUAAGUUUUAAUUUCAUUUUAUCUUUAUUUAUUCAUGUAUUAUAAGCAUGAUAAACAGUCUCAUCUCAUGAAACUGACCUUAUUUUCUCAUCAUUCUCUCUCCUUCCCUAUUGUCCUUUUUUUCCGCCUUUUUCUGUUUCUAGUUUUACGACUUACAGCUGUCCUUUUCAUCUCAUUAUAGCCCCACCUCCAAGGGAAAAUAAGUUUUUUUGCCUUAGUCCAAACAUUUAACUUGAAACUCUAUCCUUUUUUAGAAUAUACAAUGAAGCCUCUUAAAUAAUAUUAUUUAAAUAAUGUGUAAAGAAUUCAAAUGACUACAAUGCUGAAUAGUCAGAUAUAGAAUAUCCCAGACUAGGGUGAACUCUUACACUUCCAUUUGUAAACUGGUUUCAACAGAUAGAUUUAUUUCUUCCUUGAUAAUCAAGUAUCUCAAGACCAGGCCAGAAUUGGUUAAAUACAAAAUGUUUAGAUAAAGCCUGGUUCCUUGGGUAAUCUCUCUUAGCAAUUCAACUAGAUUGAUGACACAUACUGACAAAAUCAAGACAUUUGUUCUUCUUUUCUAUUUGAAGUCUGUUUUACCAACAUACCAACAUCAUUCUUUCAUUUACCAAACGCUGUUCUAAACACUUUACAAGUAUUAGUUUCUUUAAUUAUCUUGACUCUAUAUUUAUGGUUAUUACUGUAUAAUUAUAAUCAUUGUGCAAUUGAGAAAACACAGAGUUUUAUUUUAAGGUAGGCCUUAAGUGAGGGGUGACUGAUAAGUGUAGGCAGAGUGGGUAACUUAGCAGUAGUGCUAAGAAUCAACAAAAAGAUGUGCAAGAGUUUUGGAAAGAGGAGUGUACAUGGAAAGGGUCAGGGACUUAGCUCAACCCAGUCUUAAAGAGCAGUAUGUCUUCCUUCCUCAAUUUUAAGCCUUGGGCUAUAGAAUCAAAAGCCAAACUUAGAGGAGACACUCCUCAGUCCUGGGAAGUGGUCAUUGCAUCAGAAGUGACCAUUGCCAUGGGUUUCAGCUGCAUGGCAUGAUGAGGUAGGCUCCACUGGCUCAUUGUGAUUCUCAUAGGGUUGCAUGGACCUUUAUGCCUUCCCUCAUCCUAGCAUUUCUCAGGACAAGCUUCUUUCUUCCUACAGAGUUUGGCUUCUCUCUCAGCUGGAAGUUUGGGCAUUGCAAAUACAAAUGGUGAAUUUUUUUUCCCAGCCUUAACCCCAGCCCACUCCAUUCUCUCUUCUUGCCCUAAUUUGUGCAUGACUUUGAAAAUAUUAUUCAGUAGUGUUUACAUGUGUGUGUUGUAUGAAGUUUAGGGACUGAUGUUAAGCAAUGAGAUUAAAGGACAAAGUUAUCUUUUCUGUUGAAAUUGGAGAUUGAAGAAGAUGAGAGAACAGCUGAACACAGGAAAUAUGAGAAAGGAGAGAGACAUCAUGGAAAAGAAGAGAUAUGUGGAGGAAAAAAAGAUGGUGAAAAAAUGAAGAAAGAGAAUUACUGAUUUGCUUCACACCCACACCUCCUCCCCAACUUCACGGUAACAGAGGCAGUUACUCUCUCUUUUGCCUGACGGGAGGUUCACCAGGAAGUUAUGCGCCGUGGGAGUGGAAAAUUUCUCCCUUUUGCAUUUUGAGACUUGGGUGUGCUGCUUUGAGAUGCCACUGGUAUCUAAGUAAUAUUUGUUUAUACUGGAUAUUUUUCUCUGUAGCCUUUGUGGAUAGGGCUUAGAAUACAAACAAUACUGUUAGCAGAACUGUAGGUACUCGAUUGCUAUGUUUAUUUUAUUAGUUAAAAAACUGCCAGAGCCCUAGGACUUCUGAGUACAUUUAAGAAAUACCAGAGGCAAUUUUAAGUAGUGCUUUGGAAAGAAAAAAUAAGAAAAGUUAGGACUUUCAAGGCUCUAGAAUGCCAAACGAUGUUGGUAGGUUUUUUUUAGAUUAAUGUCUUCAAAAACUCUAAAUUAGGAUAGUUUCAUUAAUUAUUUUUUAAAGUGAGUUUAAAGUACUCUUCUUGUAUAUAAGCCUUUUGUUGGUAGAUAACUUAGGUAAAAUAAGUGUGGCACUUUUGUUGCACAGGCUGUAAAACUAAGAUUAAUUCUUCAGGGAAUUUCGGAUUUUUUGGAUGCUGCUUAAAUCAUCUCUAAUGACUUUUUUUGGUCAGAUCACAGGUCCAAAAGUAUUUCUCACUGAUUUACAAUUGUAUUGGGACAGAAUCACUGAAAUUGUGAUGUUCCUGGAAAAUCUAAAAUAUGGUCACUUUUACCCUUAAAUUUUCUGGAAAUUCAUUUUAUGGUCCCCUGAAGUCUCUCUCUUUAUUCUGCUCUCUGUAGAAAGUUACAUAGUUGUAUUUAUGAAAAACACCCAGUUUAAAAAAUAUUGAACUAAUCAAAUGAUAAAAGUAUUGACUUGAAGACAUUAAUUUAUUUUUAAAUGGCUAUUCAUUUCUCAGGGAGAGAGCUCUGGUCUUAACAGGUUCGAUUUGAUCCCCGUCAGUAAAAUAAAGUUAAGAUUUUUUUUUUCCUCAGUCAUUGCAUGGCAGUAACAUAUUGUUCAGACAUUUCAAGAAUCACUAACAAAUUACCCUUUUGGAAUAGAAAGGGAGAAAGGGGACUCUUCUUUCUCAUUUGUUCUUUUUCAUUUUAUCCUUUCCCAUUCAUGGAAAUUUUUACUUUCCUCCACUGUUCAUCAAAAGUUCCCCAUUUGUACCUCCUAGAUUACUAUCAUACUAAGUUUUCUUAAAAUUAGGCAGAAACAGAACCUGGCCCUUUAGAAGCUAAUGGAAACCAUCCCACGUUUUCUCAGACUCUCUUCCCCAGAGGCAAGAGGAGCAAAAAAGUAGUUGGUGGUUUGUCAUUGUUGCUUCUGCCGCUGUCCUGUUUGGUUGACCUAAGCUUUUUUACCUCCAUUCUUAAUGCUGAAAUCUACAAAUGAAAUUAGGGCCAGGCACGCUGUAUUUCCCUCAUCAGCUAUCCCUAGUGGUUCAAAUUUAGCACAAAUCUGUGAGCACAUAUUAAUUAGGCUAAUAGAAUAGGAUUAAAUGAUAACAUGAGUUUUUCAAUAACUAUAUUUUGAAUUGAAGUGUGGUUUUAUCUUAUGAGUUUGCAGUUAUUUUGUUGGAAAUCUGGAAAAUCCUUAUGUGAGCAACUAAGCUACUGAUAGCCCCAAACAGUAUAAGUUAAACAUUAACUUGCAGUAAACUGCUGAAGUGUCUUUGAUUUUGAGAUGCAGUGAGCUAUUUCAAAUUAAGUUGUCCAUUUCUAUGUGGAAUGGUGUGGAAAUCUUGCAACCUGAUUUCAAGGUUGGACUCUGAAUAAGAAUAUUUUGUCUCUGUUUUCUAUGCUAUGUCACUGUCACAGGCAUAAAGUGGAUGUGCCUCUAUUCUUUUGCUCCUUAUAACCCAAUUCCCAUGCCAGACAGUAUUGGAGGCAAUUAAGUUCUUCUAUAGAAAACUUCAUAAGUCAGCUACUAACUACUGUGUCUGUAAAUAUACUCUCAAACUAUUUUGUAGUCCUGCUAUUUUUAAAAAUGUGUGGGUGUGGGAAGUAAUGGUGAAUGAAGUCAGGGUAAUUGGUGCUUCUUUGUAUUAAGAAAAAUCACACUACUUAAAGGAAGUCUGCUUCCAUGAUUUGUAUAUGCUUAAUUUUUAAAAAUUCUUCUAACCCUCUCCCAUUUCAGUUCCUACCCCUACUUCAUAAAUUAAAGCAAUGAAGGAAUUAGAGUCAUAGGAUUUUAUAGCUGGAAGGAUUUUAGAGAGAAUCUGAUUAACUCUCUUAUUACACUUGAGGAAAUUGAUGUUCAGUGAGGUCAAAUGAGAUCAUGUAGCUGUUUAAAAGCCCAAAUGACAUUAGUAGUUUAUUUCCAUUAGUAAACAUGUUCUGAUUAAUCUCCCUUAACAUGUUCAUAAUCACAAGGAAAUAAUAAGGAUAAAUAACUAACAUGUGUAUGGCACUCUCUCAUAUAUAUCUGUCACUUCUCAGAAGAGCUGUGUAAGGUAUAGGUACUGUAGUUCCCGUCCACAGAGCAAAAGGGCUCAGCAGUGUUCAGAGAUCUGUCCAUGCCAGUCUCUAUCAAAAGGGCCCAGGGCUCCCUGUCUUCCCACCUUGGCAGAAGCAUCAGCUGGUCUCAAGACAGUUCUCAUAUCUUUAUACCAUAGUUUUGGCUCUAAGCUUGGUCCAAUUAUUAACUUUGGUCUAUUUCAUCACUUUUAAAGAGGAAAAAAAAAUUUAAAGAGCUAUGAGCUUAUAAAUUUUUCAAAAGAAAGAUGCUGAGUAAUUGUAAAUAGGGGGCUUUUAAGAAUCUCUUUAUUGACAUUUUAAAAAUUCAGCCAGUAUAUAUUGAGUACCUUACUAUGUAUAAGGCACAUAAUGGGCUGCUCCAGUAGACAGAAUAGUGAUUGGGGCAGAAUCAUGGCUUUCAGGGAAGAGGCUCAUGCAAUUGUCUCUCCUUUCAAAGAUUUACCUAGAUAGAAAACUAUUCUUGAGAAAUGUCUGAUACUGUCUCUGUUACUCUUGAGAUAAGAGAGCUACUAUAGUUGACCCUUGAAUGAUGUGGGGGUUAGUGGUGCCAAUCCCCUGCACAGACAGAACUCUGUUUGCAACUUUGACUUUCCAAAACUUUACUAAUAAGCCUGUUGACCAGAGUCUUACUGAUAAUACAAACAGGCAGUUAAUACAUAUUUUAUAUAUUGUAUGUAUUAUAUACUGUAUUCUUAUAAUAAAGUAAGCUAGAGAAAAAAGUUAUUAAGAAAAUCAUAAGGAAGAGAAAAUACAUUUAUAAUACUGUGCUGUAUUUAUCAAAAAGAGUCGUGUGUAAGUGGACUCGUGCUGCUCAUACCCUUGUUCAAGGGUCAGCUCUAAUUCUUAUGUCUGAAAUGGGCCAUUUUCUUCUGAUUAUUUAUAUUCAAGUAUUCACAUUCAAGAAAACUUUUGAAAUACAGAAAAAUAGAAAAAAAUCAUAUGUCUAUUCUGCAUCUUACCAUGGUAAUAUUUAUAUCGUACAUAUAGUUUUUUUCUUGGCUUUUUUUACCUGAUGGGAUAGCUGAUGUUCUAUAUCAUUGCAUGCCUUUGUAAACAUGUUUUAAUGAUUACAUAAUUUCAGAAAGAGUCAGUUUCUAUUGUGUCAAUAAUCUGGCUAUUCUAUGACAAUUACAGUUGUUAUUUUAUACAAAAUGAUUAAUCAAAGUCUCUAACCUGGACUACUACUAAGAAAUACUUUCUUAAAGUAUUUGAAAAAAAUAAUGAACCAAGUAACAGAUUAUUUUCUGUUCUUUAAGAGCAUCAGAAUCAUUUUAUUUGUUUAAAAUAUCUAUAGAAAUAUCAACUAUGUACAGUUGACUUACAUUAGAAAUGGAUUUUUUAAAUGUGAAAUUUGUAAACAAAUAUUUUUUAAAUGUAGUUUCCAUUAUAGAAUUGUGUUCCUCUGAAAUAAUUUCUAAUUACUGUGAAGGUAUAGACUAAUCAUGUUGAAUUUUUGCUAUUUGGGGGAAUUUAAUCUGACAGCUUUGAUUUGAAAAAGAAAAAAACCAAGGACUUCUGAAUUCUGCUGUGGCAUUAUUACAGUGAAAUUUAUCUUAAAUUCACCUAAUUGCCCUCUAGAAAUAUGAUCUUAUAUUUCAACAGGACUGGGAGGGUAUUCCUAGGUGAGAGUUGCUCUUUGUGAAGAGUCUAAUGGAACCCUGAGGUGGGGAAGAGCUGAGCCAGCAGGUUGUCAGAGGGAUGCAGCCUGGGAACUGCUGACAGUUAUGUGCCUGAGGGAAGGGAAGGAGAUGAGAUGAGGGGAGUUGGAUGGAAAGUCCCUUAUUAGCCUGAAGGCUAGGAUGCCCUGACCCUUGGAAUCCCCCUCCCUAGUGAGAAAGCCAGCCAGAGUAGGAGGGGAAAGCCUGGGGCAGAUGGGGGAGUAGGGUACUAACAACCAAAAAACUUGGAGAGUUCCUUUCUGGGGAACCCUGGCGUAGACUGUAAAUCAGUAUAUUUUAAGGAAGAGUUUGGCAAAUGAGUAAAUAUAUGUCUGCUGAAAUGAGUGACUUAAUGAAUUGUUUUAUCACCAAUCAGGAUAUUUGUUCCUCCUCUUAACAUUUUUUUCAUUUAUUAAUUUUUUUAUGCCCAGUUUAUCAUAUAAACACAAUUUUUAUUGAAUUUUCAUUAACUACCUCAUAUUUAUUCAAACCAACGCCUUCCCCAGUUCCACGAAUGAUUCAGAAGAGCUUACAAUAAGCAAAACCUCAGGAUAGGAAAGUGAGUGUGUGAUUCCAGCUCUCCAAGCCUAGUGUUCCCAUUUGCACGAUGAUCAUGAUAGUAAAUGUUUCAUCAUACCAUGGCAGGGAGGAGAUGAGAUAGUGCAUAAACAUUGCAUGGCAUACAACAAAAAUGAUAUAUUAAAGUUAAGGCUAUAAACUUGAUACACACAGUUUAUCAGGCUUAAUUCUCAGUUUAUUUCUCACUACCAUUUUAUUAGAGAAUGUUAAUUGAACAAAAAAUACUUGUUUUAAUUUCUGAAGUAGAAGAUUUUAUUCUUUGUAACUAAAUCCUUUAGAUGCAAGAUACUGUUUGUUUUCCUAGAAUUUGAGUUUCUUAAUCUUCCAUGUAUGCACAAUCCAUGCGAAAAUGUUCCUAGUAAAUUCCUAUAUCCUUCAUCCAUUUUCAACAGGCAACAAGCAGAUAGGUCUGUAUUUCUUUCUUUUUUUUUUUUAAUGUAUUUAUUUAUUAGAGAGCACAGGCAGGGGGAGCAGUAGGCAGAGGGAGAGGAAACAGCAGACUCCCCGCUGAACAGGGAGCCCGAUGUGGGGCUUGAUCCCAAGACCCUGGGAAGGCAGACGCUUAACCGACUGAGCCACCAAGACGCCCCUAUAUUUCUAUUAAUCUCCAAAAAAAGCAAGGAGAAGUUCAUCAUCAUUGUCAUUAACAAGAAAUAAAAUGAGAAUUAGAAGCCUUACUUACUGUGAACCAGUAAGUAUAAAGUAUAAAUAAAAGAAGGUGAAGAUGAAUUUUGAAGGUCAGAAUUUUGUUUGUAUAUUUAUUUUACUUCCAUUCCAGAAUCAUUUCUAUGUAUAUGCUUUCUACAAAAGGAAACAGAAACUCUUUGUUUCUUGUCUUUAGAUGGGUUUUCUGAAGGAAAGGAUAGAGUCCAAAUACGCAGUUGCCUGGGACCUUGGCCCCAGAGAGAUGGUAGGUGGAAGGAAGCAGAGCAGAGCCUGGCCACUAGGCCCUGUGCUGACAUGAAGCACCCACUCCUUGGGUGUUCUGAAUGAAAACAUUCAGAGACCAGAACAGAUGGAGGUUAGAUGGAGGAGAAAGGUGGAACCAGAGGGAGAAGCCUCACUCUAGUGAGGUAAGGUCACCUCCAUGUACCUUUGCAUUUCCAUGGCCAAGGGAAGUCCUAGUAUAAAUAAAUAAAUUGACAAGUAAAGUAAUAGUAACUUCCACCACCUGUUGGUAAGUGCCUAAAACCUUAAUAUUCAAGUAUGGGCCAUUUAAUUUAAAAAGUCUAAUGUAUUAAAAUCCAGAGAAUUGUGUGUAUGAGUGGAAGGAGGGGAGCUUGAGUGGCUGUAAUAUUUUAACCUUUUCUUAGUUAUACAUAGUUUAGGAAAAUGCAUAAUUAUAAAAUCAGUAAGAGGGUUCAAGACGGAAUGGUUCAGUGUAGCUAAGAAAAAAUUUUAAACUAAUUGUUACUAGUCCUAAACUACCCAUCCCAAGAAGGAAUUAAUCCUUCAGAGAGUUAAAACUAAUAUGAGGAAGAUUAUAAAAACUGAUUAGGGCAUAGACAUCCAGAACCGCACUUUUGGGUGGAGAGACUUUUCAGACCUAUCUAACAGGGCUAGAGCAGCCAGCAUUUCUGUGGUUUUGAACAAACUAAGUUUUUUGUGAACAUUUCCAGGGUUAUUUAAGACAAUAUAUAGUAUCUGAUGUAUUGGACACAAUUGAGUCUUACUCUGUCAUAUUUGUUUUUAAUUCAUGAUUUUUAAAUGGAUUUACUGGUGCUAUUUCUCAAAUAGUCGGAAGGGUUUUUAGUCUCAAGCAAGUUUAUUUAGUUUCGUCUUUCUAGAUUAAUAGUUCUCUGCCAGGAACAUAUAGCAAAAUCAUUUGAUAGAUUUUGCAAAAUGCACACACUCAGCACCCUCCCCUUCUGAAUAAGAAUUGCAAAAUGGAUGGGGCAGGAGGCAGUCCAGGUAUGUGGGGUUAGAAGAAACUGUCCUGAUACUUCCAGUGCCACCUUCUCAUUUUGAGAAUUGCUGUCCUAAAUGGAACCGAUACUGUUCAAUUACCAGGAAACAAGCAAAUAGCUUAAAUAACGUUGAGUCUCACUUAAACUGGCAAAAUUGUUCAGCACCUUGUUGGGAUAAAUCUGCUUUACCAUCCACGUAGGUUUCAUCCAGCUGGUAUCUUGCCAAAAAGGAAGCCUGUGUAUACAGGCAAUGAAGUGUACUAUACUGAUGCUUGUUGAAUACCCUUCCGUUGAUGCACCCUUGUAACUUUUUAUCAUCUUCCAUGCUUUGCAGAAUUUUUUAUGUUUAUUCAUAGAGCUCUGAGCAAAAGACUGGAUGUUCAAAGUUGUGCUAAGGUUUAAGACCUCUUUCACAUGUUUGUACAAUUCUUAUUUCAGGUUGUUUGCCUACUAUGUACUAGUGACUUACCGUUUUUAAUUGUUAAGUGGCAAGAUUCCAAGACAAGUAGGAGAUCUGUCACUUUGAGAAAAAUUUAUGGAAGUAAAAGUAUUUCCUUUUGCUAAACAGUUACUGCUAUAUAAUGUCUUCACAGGGUGUAAGGUUUGGUAUUUAACUAUUUUAAUUACAGAGUACCAUGCCUAUUUGUGACUAACUUAAAAGAAGUUGGUGUCUUGGUGAGAAGUUCACAAGGUUUAGCUGUAGCUGAGUUUGGUGAACUGACUGGAGCUCUAGUCAGCAAUGGUAUAUGCGAAUGCCAAGUACAAAGAAUUUCAGGAAUGUAGAAUUGCACAGCACUGAUAAAGUUUGCUUUGUUCCCCUAUGUGACUUGACCCAUUGAGAAAAUGCGGUUCCCUAGGAAGUUUUAAUAGUUCAAAGUCCUUAGUUAAUAAAGAAAAAGGCCUCAACAUAAUUCAGCUUGUUUUCACCUGCUGCCUCAAAGAUUAACUUUCUUAACCUUAAUGGGAUAGAGUUACCCUUUGCUUUGAAAAAGUAAUUUAUUGAACUCUGCACAUUUGUUAGUUUCAGUAAACAUGACACUGUGUGUGUGGAUUUGGUUUUGGGUUUGGGUUUGGUGUCACAAACUACUAAGACUUCUGCAACCUGAGAACCUUAUGGUUACUUCAUCUAAAAAGUCUUGGGGAAAGGCACACCUACUGCUCUGUAUCAACUUAAUCUUUCACUAGACUAGGAAGAAUUUUGAAUUCCUCCAGGAGAGUAAUGACUGAUAGAGCUUAGCCUUCAGUUUUCCUCAUUUAUUUUCAUAAGAGAAUGGGAGUGGAAUUCAAAACAUUCAAAAUUGGAGUUAAUGUGCGUCACUCUGUUGCGAGUGAUAGGUUCUGUGUUUUUCCAGUGGGGAACUUUGAUCCACAAACUCAUGUAUGCCUGUUAUAGACCUCUUAUUUCUUUCUAUUUUUCUCCUCAUUGUUGCAUAUGCUUUCAAAAACUAUAUGACUAUACAAGUUGUCUCUGGGAGCAGAUUUCAGAGCAAAAGUGGUACUAUAAAACACGUAAGUCUUUUUUUAUGAGAAUUUAUAAUGUUUGAAAUAGACCUUUUAUGUUUUCAUUGAGAGUCUAAGCUUACUUAAAUUUAGUGUUUAAUGUUAAUGUGCACUUUCUGUUAUUAACAUAAUUUAAUUUCUGUGUUUGGUCAUUUUCACUCAAAGAAGGAUUUUAAUUGCAUAAUACAUGUUGGAGCCCUAUUAAGUAAUCCUGCCUUGUUUGUUUCUUAGCUAACAGUAAUGGAUAAAAGCAAUUUGCAUACAUUGUCUUAAUCUAUCACAAAAUCCUAUGGGAAUUUGGCAGAUAAAUAACAGACACGAAGCUUUUUGUUUUGAUUUUGGGACAUUUUCUAGAAUAUUUCUGUGUUGGAAUGAGAAUUUGGUAAUGUACAGAAUUGCUGCUUGUACAUCUUAGAAACACCUGCUAGGGACCAGUCUUUAGGUUAACCAGACAGAAAGAAGGUUCACCCCUCUUGACAGUGAGCGACUGUAAACAUCCUCGACUGGAAGCUGUGAAGGCACAGAUGGGCUUUCAGUCGGAUGUUUGCAGCUGCCUACUGCCUCAGACUUCAAGGAAUUACUUUAGGAGCAAUUACCUCGUGAGCUAAAACUGAAUACCUUGCUUUCCCUUUGAUUCAUUUUUACAAAGCUUGGGUGAAAGUGAUAUAAAUUAAAUGACUUUUAAACCAUCUCUUUGCAUCUUUAGAGGACUUCAGCAGGGUAGAAGGAGAGGUGUUCUGUGUGUGUAUACAAUUUGCGAUGUCAAAAAAGAAAAAAAGAAAAGAAGAGAAAAGAAAAGGAUGCAAAGUAUCCCUGAGAGAAGUGAGGAAAUGUAUUAUAGUCUCUUUGUUCUAAAAAAUAAGGUGUACUAGGGUAAUAUUUCACAAAUUACUCCAAAAAGUGAUUUGUCCCACUGUUUUAUUUAUCUAUAAUUGCAAAAUAGGUGUCUUUUAGAUCCACUCACAAACAUAUGAAUGAAGUAUAAAUUAUUUGAAAAGAGGAAGAAAAGGCCAGAAUAAAGAAUUAAUUCACUUUCACAUUACUGAAUUAAACUUUUUAUUUCCUUAUAGGUUCAGUCUUUAAGUAAUGAAGUUAGUUUUCAAUUUAAUGAAGUUCCUGAGAUAAACAGAUAUUUGAAAAAUCUACUUGUUCUCGUUUGUGCUGAUGAAAAUAGUAUUUUACGCCAUUGUUGAUACUGUCUUCAUUCAAUUGAACUGUUGACUUUGCUCUGUGUAAUAGCACAUAUCUCUUAAAAAUGAUGCAUGCAUCAAAUGCUGCCCUAACUAUACGAAGGCAACCUAAUACUUUUAAAAGAGUCCUGUUGUGGACCUCUGUGAAGGACCUAAUAACUUGUCUUUUUUGUAAAUCUAUGUUGGUCUCAUGGCAGAUUUGUUUAAUAUGAGACACUUAAAUAGUAGAAAUGAGACAUCAAAAGGAGGGGAAAAUAGCAUCCUUUGUCCUCUAAAACACAAUAUUUUCUAAACAUGCAGUAUUGUCUUUAACACAGAAUGUAUAGUUUCUGUUUCCAUUUAAUACCCACUGAUAAUGUCAGUAAAAGGUGAUACUGAAACAGCGUGACCACUAUUUAAAUUUUGACUACUAUUUAAAAUUUGACUAGACUACAGUUAAACAUUCUAAUUAGCUGGGAUGGAAGGAGACAUGUAUAGAAAUGCCUUUAAAUUUAUCUCAUACAUAAAGCCAUCAAGUGAAAAACUUCAGAUAGUCAUGCUGGGCCAUGAGAGGUUAGUACACUCCCCUGAAACAGGGGUGGGAGGGAUGGAGGCUUUCCAUCUGGUAGGCCCUGGGGUCUAGAAUGGAGAGUGCAGCUUGUUUUUUAAUAGGUAAACUUAAAACACUUAGAGCAAAUAACUCAGCUGUGUCCCAGGGAACUUAACCACAUUUCCUAGGUAAACAACUAUAGGUCUGGAGAAAUGGGUAAACUUUUCCUAGUUCCUUGACCUUCACUUUCUUUAGGUUCUCCUCCUAUGCUAUUUCAUAUCCCCUUUCUCGCCUCACUCCCCUCUAAAUGUUCUAUUUCCCACCUAUUUAGUUAUUUUCUUCAUUUAAGUGAUUACUUACUAGAAUAUUUUAAUUUUCAAAAAAUACGGCUUUCUCAAAUGUUCUUAAACAGAGAAAUACAAACCUCCAGAAAACAUGCUGGGUAGUUUUGAAAGUCAUACUUUUAAUUUAUUAUGCCUUGGGCCCCAUAUUUCACUAGAAAAAAAUCUAAAAUGCUAUUCUUUUUUUUUUUUAGA